rnacentral:rRNA from 1 species
CGCGAAUGGCUCAUUACAACAGCUAUAAUUUACUUGAAUUUGACAACCCUACUUGGAUACCGGUGGUAAUUCUAGCGCUAAUACAUGCACCAAAGUUCCGACCGCGAGGGAAGAGCGCAUUUAUUAGAACAAAACCACACGGCUUCGGCCGUCCAAUGUUGACUCAGAAUAACUAAGCUGAUCGCAUGGUCUUGCACCGGCGACGUUUCUUUCAAGUAUCUGCCUUAUCAACUUUCGAUGGUAGUGUAUCUGACUACCAUGGUGAUGACGGGUAACGGAGGAUAAGGGUUCGACUCCGGAGAAGGGGCCUGAGAAAUGGCCACUACGUCUAAGGAUGGCAGCAGGCGCGCAAAUUACCCACUCUCAGUACGAGGAGGUAGUGACGAGAAAUAACAAGACCGUUCUCACAAGAGGCCGGUCAUUGGAAUGGGUACAAUUUAAACCCUUUAACGAGUAUCUAUGAGAGGGCAAGUCUGGUGCCAGCAGCCGCGGUAAUUCCAGCU